rnacentral:tRNA from 1 species
GCUGGCGUAGCUUAAACAAAGCAUGGCACUGAAAAUGCUAAGAUGGGCCCCUAAAAAGCCCCGUGGGCA